CCUACGGGAGGCAGCAGUGAGGAAUAUUGGUCAAUGGACGAGAGUCUGAACCAGCCAAGUAGCGUGAAGGAUGACUGCCCUAUGGGUUGUAAACUUCUUUUAUAUGGGAAUAAAACGUUCCACGUGUGGGAUUUUGUAUGUAUCAUAUGAAUAAGGAUCGGCUAACUCCGUGCCAGCAGCCGCGGUAAUACGGAGGAUCCGAGCGUUAUCCGGAUUUAUUGGGUUUAAAGGGAGCGUAGGUGGAUUGUUAAGUCAGUUGUGAAAGUUUGCGGCUCAACCGUAAAAUUGCAGUUGAAACUGGCAGUCUUGAGUACAGUAGAGGUGGGCGGAAUUCGUGGUGUAGCGGUGAAAUGCUUAGAUAUCACGAAGAACUCCGAUUGCGAAGGCAGUUCACUGGACUGCAACUGACACUGAGGCUCGAAAGUGUGGGUAUCAAACAGGAUUAGAUACCCCGGUAGUC
rnacentral:rRNA from 1 species